CAAAAAACCAAAAAAAACCAUUUCAAGCAGCACUAUUUUCAAAACAGAAAAUUAAAUGAAUGAUAUCUUUUUUUGAAUAAUGAAUGAAUGCCUUUAUAUUCAAGAUAUUUCACCGGAAGCAGCCAUCUCCCACGAUCAAUUCCAUCCGUCACCACCACCCGCCACCGCCUACAAGGGCAAAGCUGAUCUGUUAGCCACAUAAGAACCAUGCGAAUAUCCACCACCAUUGUUUACAAUCGGCGAAUACGCAAAAUAAACCGGUUGACCAGUUGGUCCAGUAAUCGGCCUCAUAGCUUGAUACAAUCCAGAAGGUGUUGGAAUCAAAUAAACCGGUAACGGUUCAUUUACAUACCCCAUCGAAUAACCAGCACCAGCAACAGCAACAUUAUACAUUUCUGAAGCAAAGGAUGACUGAACCGAAACCGGUUCAGGUACCUGAACCGAACAGGAACAAUAUGAACCGGGUUGAACUUCUUGAACCGGAUCCUCAGCAGAAGGUUCACUAGUAACUAACGGAAUCACUCUUUCCGCGUUUUCUUCAGAGGAAACAUCAACACCACCGUUAUUUCCACCGUUUUCUCCGUCAAAUUUCACUUGCUGUUCAGCAUUACCGUUAAUUCCGUCGUUUUCUCCGUUAACUUUCACUUUCUUUUCAUCAUCAUUCACAGUUUCCACCAUCUGAAUUUCCUGAAUCUCUUUUUCUGUUACCGUCUCGGUCCCACACUCCGUAUCCUUUGCCGCGAAAUCCGGUUCAGUCACCGGAAUUUUUGCCUGAUUGUCAUCUAAUCCAAACAGAUAAUCUGGACUCGUCUUCAUCGUCAACGGCGGUGGAGGGGAUAAAUCUUCCACCGGCGGUGGACGAUGAACGGAAUUGAGCAUGUUGACGAACAUUUGUCCGUCGGAUUUCGAAUCUUCCACCACCGCAAGAUUGAAAGCGGAAUCCAAAGAAUCAGAAGAUGCAUUGUUAACUGGGAGAGGGAAGAGAAAAACCUUCAUCCUUGCAGGUUUAGGUGAAACGCGACACAUGCAAUCAUACUCAAACAUCAUACUAUCGAGAUCGUCAUCGUUGAAUACUGAGAUCAAAGAAUCGAGCUCUCCACCAGGUUGUUGAUACUUUAGGCAAAGAUCAGAAAACGUCAUUGAUGAUAGCUUCUCAAUGAGGCUAGAGAAUUUGAUACUACGAUCGACGGUGAGGAUUUUGGUGUCACCGCCGAUGUAGGAAUAGUUUUGAUCGUCGUGAAGCCUGAGAUCAAUUUUUCCGCCGAAGCGAAUCAUGAGCUUAACUCUUGGACCGUUGGAAGGUGGUGGUUCAUCGAAUGAACGGUGGUGGUGAUCGUUUUCGAGCAAUUCACGAGAGGUGGGUGAGGAAUUGCCGGAAUUGGGAUGGGAAUUGAAGCAUUGAUGCUCCAUUGAUGAAGGGAAUGAGAAUUAGGGUUUCGAAGAAGGAAUUGGGAAUUGAAGAAUUUUGGGAAGAGUUUUGAGUAAGCGAGAGUGAGGAGGUUUUGAGAAAAAACGGCUUAAGUGUAAAGAAGAGAGUGAGGUUAAUUUAUGGUUUGAGAAAAGAUGAAGGGUCCACCUAUUAUUAAUUUUUCUUUUUAAUUUUUU
rnacentral:lncRNA from 1 species